GAAACCGUGUACGUACAAGCAGUGGGAGCACCCUUUGGGGUGUGACUGCGUACCUUUUGUAUAAUGGGUCAGCGACUUAUAUUCUGUAGCAAGGUUAACCGUAUAGGGGAGCCGGAGGGAAACCGAGUCUUAACCGGGCGUUAAGUUGCAGGGUAUAGACCCGAAACCCGGUGAUCUAGCCAUGGGCAGGUUGAAGGUUGGGUAACACUAACUGGAGGACCGAACCGACUAAUGUUGAAAAAUUAGCGGAUGACCUGUGGCUGGGGGUGAAAGGCCAAUCAAACCGGGAGAUAGCUGGUUCUCCCCGAAAGCUAUUUAGGUAGCGCCUCGUGAAUUCAUCUCCGGGGGUAGAGCACUGUUUCGGCUAGGGGGCCAUCCCGGCUUACCAACCCGAUGCAAACUGCGAAUACCGGAGAAUGUUAUCACGGGAGACACACGGCGGGUGCUAACGUCCGUCGUGAAGAGGGAAACAACCCAGACCGCCAGCUAAGGUCCCAAAGUCAUGGUUAAGUGGGAAACGAUGUGGGAAGGCCCAGACAGCCAGGAUGUUGGCUUAGAAGCAGCCAUCAUUUAAAGAAAGCGUAAUAGCUCACUGGUCGAGUCGGCCUGCGCGGAAGAUGUAACGGGGCUAAACCAUGCACCGAAGCUGCGGCAGCGACGCUGAUGCGUUGUUGGGUAGGGGAGCGUUCUGUAAGCCUGCGAAGGUGGCCUGUGAGGGUUGCUGGAGGUAUCAGAAGUGCGAAUGCUGACAUAAGUAACGAUAAAGCGGGUGAAAAGCCCGCUCGCCGGAAGACCAAGGGUUCCUGUCCAACGUUAAUCGGGGCAGGGUGAGUCGACCCCUAAGGCGAGGCCGAAAGGCGUAGUCGAUGGGAAACGGGUUAAUAUUCCCGUACUUGGUGUUACUGCGAAGGGGGGACGGAGAAGGCUAUGUUGGCCGGGCGACGGUUGUCCCGGUUUAAGCGUGUAGGUGUGUGUUCCAGGUAAAUCCGGUUCACUUUAACACUGAGGCGUGAUGACGAGGCACUACGGUGCUGAAGCAACAAAUGCCCUGCUUCCAGGAAAAGCCUCUAAGCAUCAGGUAACAU
rnacentral:rRNA from 1 species